rnacentral:rRNA from 1 species
GAUGAACGCUGGCGGCGUGCUUAACACAUGCAAGUCGAACGAAGCAAUCAAGAGGAAAUUUUCGGAUGGAAUCUAGAUUGACUGAGUGGCGGACGGGUGAGUAACGCGUGGGUAACCUGCCUCAUACAGGGGGAUAACAGUUAGAAAUGACUGCUAAUACCGCAUAAGACCACAGUGCCGCAUGGCACAGGGGCCAAAGCCCAGACGGUAUGAGAUGGACCCGCGUCUGAUUAGGUAGUUGGUGAGGUAACGGCUCACCAAGCCGACGAUCAGUAGCCGACCUGAGAGGGUGACCGGCCACAUUGGGACUGAGACACGGCCCAA